CUUGAAGAACGGGUGUAUCUCUUCUAAAACAGUGGAGAUUUUUUCCUAAUACAGCGUGUGUCGUACCACAGAUGGAGAAGCUGUCGUGCUCCAUCAUACUGCGUCAGGCGUAUGUUGACGACAUCCACGUCAAACUUCAGCUGGGACAUGUGCUGGACAUGGCUCAAAGAUAUCCGGGCUUCAACAUGGCGCACAUUUUCACCGUAAGAAAUGAGAAUCUUGUCGAGAUCCUACGGUUCGUGGUCAUGUAUGUCGUCAUUUUCCACCAGUUCUGGACGACUGAGGACUGACUGAAAAGUGGCAUGGUACGAAUAACGAAAAGAGAUAAUUUAGCAAGAAAAAGAAAAAAACAGGCAAUCACGACCAUGAGCAUUACUCUUAUGACUGGCAGACAUUUGCAGAUACAGUAAAACUAGUAAAGGACGAACAUUAACCAGCAAUAACAAAACCAGCAACAGCAUCAAUAGUAAUACCACAACCAUCUAUGUAUGAUCAACCUAUUUGGUAUUGUGAAAAUCGGUAAUUUUCUAUAAUAUAAUAUAAUAAAAUAUAAUAAUAUAAUGUAAUAUAAUAUUAAUGAAUAAGAGUACCAAAAAUUAUGAUGAUAUAAAAUAAUCAU